GUCAGCGGCGAUAGCACGUUGACUACACCAGUUCCCAAGGAAUCACUGAAGUUAAGCAACUUUGAGCGUGGUUAGUAUCCGGAUGGAUGGCCAUAUGGACAAUCGCAUGCUGCUGGCU
rnacentral:rRNA from 1 species